rnacentral:rRNA from 1 species
AAACGACUCUCGGCAAUGGAUAUCUCGGCUCUCGCAUCGAUGAAGAGCGCAGCGAAAUGCGAUACGUGGUGCGAAUUGCAGAAUCCCGCGAACCAUCGAGUCUUUGAACGCAAGUUGCGCCCGAGGCCAACCGGCCAAGGGCACGUCUGCCUGGGCGUCAAGC